AUUGAACGCUGGCGGUAGGCCUAACACAUGCAAGUCGAGCGGAGCGGCGGACGGGUGAGUAAUGUCUGGGAAACUGCCUGAUUGAGUGGGAUAACUACUGGAAACGGUAGCUAAUACCGCAUCCCAUCCGCUGUGCCCAGAUGGGAUUAUCUUGUAGGUGGGGUAACGGCCGACCAAGGCGACGAUCCGUAACUGGUCUGAGAGGAUGAUCAGGUACACUAGAACUGAGACAAGGUACAGACUCAUACGGGAGGCAGAGGUGGGGAAUAUUGGACAAUGGGCGAAAGCCUGAUCCAGCCAUGCCGCGUGUGUGAAGAAGGUCGUCGGAUUGUAAAGAACUUUAAGUGGGGAGGCGGUACUAACAGAAUAAGCACCGGCUAACUUCGUGCCAGCAGCCGCGGUAAUUC
rnacentral:rRNA from 1 species